rnacentral:tRNA from 1 species
GCGGGUGUAGUUUAAUGGUAGAACAUCAGCUUCCCAAGCUGAGAGCGCGAGUUCGAUUCUCGUCACCCGCUUCA